UACGAAGGGGGCUAGCGUUGCUCGGAAUCACUGGGCGUAAAGGUGCGUAGGCGGGUCUUUAAGUCAGGGUGAAAUCCUGGAGCUCAACUCCAGAACUGCCUUUGAUACUGAGGGUCUUGAGUCCGGGAGAGGUGAGUGGAACUGCGAGUGUAGAGGUGAAAUUCGUAGAUAUUCGCAAGAACACCAGUGGCGAAGGCGGCUCACUGGCCGGUACUGACGCUGAGGCACGAAAGCGUGGGAGCAAACAGG
rnacentral:rRNA from 1 species